CUCAGCAGCUAUAUCACCCUGCAACUCACAACUGACAGCCCAUUGAAGUUAAGCAUGUGUGAGCUUGGUCAGUACCUGGAUGGGAGACCUGCUGGGAAAAAAACUAAGGUUGCUGUUGGAA
rnacentral:rRNA from 1 species